rnacentral:rRNA from 1 species
AACUCUCAACAACGGAUAUCUUGGCUCUCGCAACGAUGAAGAACGCAGCGAAAUGCGAUACGUAAUGUGAAUUGCAGAAUUCCGUGAAUCAUCGAAUCUUUGAACGCAUAUUGCGGUCGAGGCUUCGGCCAAGACCAUGCCUGCCUCAGNGUCGUAAUAGUGCAACCCCUCACU